UACGUAGGGUGCAAGCGUUUGUCCGGAAUUAUUGGGCGUAAAGUGCUACGUAGGCGGUCUGUCGCGUCUGCUGUGAAAACUCGGGGCUUAACCCCGGGCCUGCAGUGGGUACGGGCAGACUAGAGUGCGGUAGGGGAGACUGGAAUUCCUGGUGUAGCGGUGAAAUGCGCAGAUAUCAGGAAGAACACCUAUGGCGAAGGCAGCACUCUGGGACGGUACUGACGCUGAGACGCGAAAGCGUGGGGAGCGAACAGG
rnacentral:rRNA from 1 species